AAAUGAUUAGAGGGGAGGCCUCUCUGCAGAGAGUCUCCCGAGAAGGAAAAUGUAGUGUUACUUUCUAAAUCUCUUCCCACUGUUUCGGGUUUCCACAGUUCUGCUUCUUCUUAUUCACAUUGGAGCUGACUGCCUGAUCCUAAAGGCUGAGGACAAGGACUUGGUUUCUACAAGAAUUGUUGAAGGUCGGGAUGGGGGAUCCUGAAGUGCUCGUACCUGAGAGUCUAGAGGGUAGCUGAGAAGACAGCCAGAAACACAGCUGCACAGCCCUGACAGAGAAGUCGCAGAGUCAAAGGAAACCCACAA
rnacentral:lncRNA from 13 species